ACAGAACGUUCGGUAACAAUCCUACACAUCGCUCCUUUAAAGUUAUCGUUGGAUCGAGGAUGGGCCUUAAAGUGCCUCCAUCAAGCGUCAGCAGAACAAAGAGAGCUGCUGUAGACUGAACGCCACCCGACUGCCAUCAGAGCCACUGCAGCUGCAGAGAGCCUGAGCCUUCCUCUGUGAUACAUCAUGCAGUCAUGAACUGCAGGGCAUAAAGACCCAUGAAUUAAUGAAGACCACAGAGGUAAUUAAAAGUGCUGGUGACACAGAUCCUCAGAGGGUAUCUAAGGGACAGGAGGUCUGUGUGGACUCCCAUCCCCCAGCCUCCACCUCCACCCCCGGCUGCAGAGAGAUUCUCCUCUGAAAUAUCUAGACAACAUGGAACAGGAAUAAACAAGUUGAAUGCACAUUAAAUGCGUAAGAUGUGGCAGAGUGUGCAAUGCACUGGUGUGUGUCCAACAAGACUCCCCAUUUGCAUAUUCACUUAAUAUUUUCAAAACUACUGAACAUUGCAGCUGCACCACUGAAAAAAAAGAAAAAUUACAGCAACAGCUUUGCUAUAACCAACAGCUUAUCGGGUAAUUGCAUUUGCUAAAAAAAACCCUAAAAAACAAGAUCAUGUAUG